AGGAGGACAAAAACAAGGUGAAGCUAAAUUUACAAAUGUAUUGUCUGUUGGUGAUUUUUUAAAGACAAGUCAGGUGAAAUUCUAUAUUUAUAAUAUUCCCAUGAAGAGACCAAAAAAGUAUGUGUAUUGUAGCUCUGUGCCAUAGAGCCAUAAACACACCAAUGAGCCACACUGUUUCACUGGGUGACAUGUUGCAGUAACAAGCUGUUUAAGGAGAUAAAACUACAUAUUUGUGAGCUUUACGUCUUCAGUAGGAACCGAUGGGCUUUGGGGCUCAGAGCCGCAGACAGGGAGAUGAAGCCAGAAAGGGUUGACAUUGUCAGUUCAGGCAUUUUUGUGGUAUUUGUUGACGAUAACAGAAAUACAGAAUGAGGCCAGCCUUAUCAGUGUGAAACAAUAUAACAUGAAUACGGUAACAUUAGCAUAAAAACAUUUGGUGUAUCACAAAAAUUAGAUGAGACACUUACAAGACAUGGCAAGAAGAGAGACCAACCUCAACCUGACAUGGUGUUCAUCAGGGCAGGAAUAAUAAACUAGCAAACUACAGCAUAGUAAACUAUUUCCGCUCUAAUGCAGACCCUGAAUAGUUUCUGAACAUUAGUUUACUUUCUGCGAAGAGUAAAAAGGACUUUGAAAGCAGAAUGGUAAUGUGAAGGAAUGAUGCCCCUGGCAAAUCAGUAACACAGACUAGUACAACUUCAUUUGAAACGAUUAUUGUAUUGCUUGGGUCAACCGAUUCUCAAACUGUGCAGCGGUGAGAAGCAUCACGUCCCUGUGUUUCAUCAAAAAUUCAAAUAUAUCAAGUUAAUCUCUAGUAUUAUAAAUCUAUUUACAAUAUGUCUGCUACUGAGCCUGUGGACUGGGAAAACUUAUAAUCCAGAACAUACAUAAGAAGCACAGGAGUAGUUUGACCAUGAAGACAGGUCAAUGGACAGAGGACAGCGGAGUAGAUCAACCAAAGGCAGAGAGAUUUACACCAAAACAGAGCAAACCUCAGCAGGCACAACUUGCUGAAUCAUACUGAUACUGAUCAAACCCUCUGUCAACACUUCACAGAUAUGUUGCUACAGGUACAGGUGAUGAGAACAAAAUAUGGGGGUUGGUAAUGGCGCAGUGGAUAAGACACAUGCCUUUGAUGUGAGAGACCCGGUUUCAAUUCCCCACUGUGACACGUCCACCCUUGUGUCCCUGAGCAAGACACUUUACCCCUAGUUGCUCCAGAGGCGCGCAACCUCUGACAUUUUUGCAAUUGUAAGUCGGUAAAACAUGAUCGACUACAGACUGUGCAGAACUCAGCUGCAAGGUUUCUGACCAGAACAAAGAAAUAUGAUCACAUCACCUGUUUAAGCUUCAUUACACUGGCCCUCAGUAUGUUUUAGAAUUUUAUUGGCUACUUUAAAGCUCUUCAUGGCCUCUCGCCGUGUUAUAUCUCUGACCUUUUAGUCCCAUACACACCAGCAAGCCUUGAGAUCCUGGGGCAGAGGCCUUUUGUCUGUUCCAGAGUCUCGACUGAAAACUAAAGGGGACAGUUUGUAGUCAGGGCCCCGAGGCUCUAAACAGCCUGCUAGAGGAAAUCCGGUUGGCUGAGUCAGUGAAAUCUUGUAAGUCCCUUCUUAAAACAUACUUUCCAGAUUUAUUUUAUAUAUAUUUUGUCAUUUCUUUUAACUGUUUUUUAGUUUCUUAAAUGUUUUCUUGCCUUUGUCGUGUAUUUUGUUUUUAUCUGUGUUUAAUUGUCUCUGCACUUGUUAAAGCACUUUGAUGACGCAUUUUUUUUUGAGGCAGUGCUAAUGUUUAUCUGAACGCAGCAUUACUGGACUACAGGGGAGGCCCGCCUGUAGAGAGUUAAGAGUCCAGUAACAUGUUCAACCCUGGCAGCAGGGAUGGAGAGUGAACAGGAAACCAGACACCACGUCCACCUUUCACCUGAAGCUGCAACAAGAACCGGAGUCACGUUCGGGUGCAGUGCGACUGACCCUUACUGCUCUUCAGCUUUUAGUCAUUGAAAGGCUGCAAAAAAUGGUGAGAGCAGGAGAGCCGAAGGGAAGGCGCGGAGGGAGAGAUGUGACCCAAAGAUACUGUGACUGUCGCAGUAACUGCAAAACCGAAAUAUCUUGCUAUUGACAAGCAAACCACAGACGAUGGCCUCCAGGACCCCCGUGUUCCUCCUGCCGCUGCUCCUUAGAGUCCAAGUGGAGCUCCAGUUCUGCUAGCCUGCUGUGGAGCUCCAGAUCCAGGCUCAACCCGCCAGGCCCCGUCUGUCCUGCAAAU